AUUGGUGAAGGUGCAGCCUCAGUAGCUGUUGAAGGCCAGAUAGACUGAAGGAGUCAUGAAGAGAAACCGAGGCUCGGCAUCAUGAAUAAAUCCUAGGACAUUGGUAAAAGCACAGCCCAGUUGCAGUCAAAGAUCCCAGCAUUGUGGAGAUGCCAGUACCUUGGCAUGAUCACCAAGAGCAGCAGUGGCCAUAGAAUGGCGCCUACCCGAGCUUAGAGGACAAGCUGUGUGUGCUACAGAGGAGCUGGAGAAGUGGCCCAAGCCCCUUGUAGGAGGCCAGAAGAUGGUUAGUGAAUCCCAGGUGGCGCCACCUCUGUUUGUAAACUCCAAUCCAGAGCUGUAGUUGUUUCUCCUUUUGGCCCUACACUGUAGAACCAAAGCCGUGCCCAACAGAAGUAGCCUCACCCUGAGUGUCUGAAGCCAGUAUACACGUGAUGAUGAAUGAAGCCACCAUUCUCAUUUCUUGUGUCUACUCUGAAGCUAAUGGUGCUAGAAGAUCCCUUUUAUCUUGGUGUCACAACUCCAUCAACAGAAGGCCUGGGGCCUUGACUUCUCACAGGGGCAGACUGUGAACUGGACCUAUAAACCAAACAUUCUCUUCCUCCCUUGAACUGAGCUAGUCAAGGUCUUUGUUAUCACAGGAAGAACUGAAGAAACCAAUGCAUCUAAGGGGCCAGCACAUCCAGAGUGCAAAGGGUAAUCAUUGCCCUAGGAAAGACAACUUUUUGAUCCUGUUUUCUCUACCAGGAAAGUUCUUAUUUCACAAUUGUAAGGACGCUUCGGAAAAAGUUCAUGGAACAUUCAGUUGACAACUGUCCUGGUAUUCAAAUCAAAAGUGUGGUGAUACGAUUUUAUGAAAACAUCUCUUACAUUGA
rnacentral:lncRNA from 1 species